AGGUAGCAUAAUCAUUUGUUAUCUAAAUGAUAACUAGUAUGAAUGGUCUGACGAGAAAAUAACUUUCUAAAAAGAAGAGAUAAAAAUUUAUUUUAAAGUAAAAAAGCUUUAUAGCCUUAGAAAGACGAGAAGACCCUAGAACCUGUUCUAUUCAUAUAGUUUGUUGGGGUGACAUUAUUCAAAACAAAUAACUAUUAAAACUUAUUAAUUGACUCUAUCUAUCUUUAUUAAAAAAAAAAAAGGUACUCUAGGGAUAACAGCAUAAUCUUCUUCUAGAGCCCUAAUCGACAAGAAAGAUUUUGACCUCGAUGUUGAAUUGAUAUUUCUUUCUAAAGCAGAA
rnacentral:rRNA from 1 species